AAUUCUCAACCUCAAAAGCUUUUGUUUCUGAGGCUUGGAUGUGGAGGCUUUGCUGGCUUGUUCAGAGUCAGCUCCUCUUAAAUGCAUUAGUGGAAACUGUUUGCUAGUCCGCAUUAGUGUGAUAAUUAUCAGCGCUGUUGUGGCUGCAAGCUCAUAGUAGUGUUCGUUUGGGAAGUGCAUCAAUAGUGCUCUUUCUGUUCUACUUGACCUACACUUGAGUAUAGUAUCUGCUUCAAACUGUCCUAAGAUAACUGGACAACACUUGAUUA
rnacentral:misc_RNA from 1 species